UCAGAUUGUUUUCCUGCAACAGAUCCAGACUUGCCUCACUUCUGCAGAGUCACAGGACCUGUAAACCAACAGAGAUGGCAGCGCUGAUGGAAGACGAGGUAUUUAUGGCUUUCACCACCUAUGCUGCUUUAGUCAUUCUGAAGAUGCUGCUGAUGGCACCCUUGACUUCUUUUUAUCGCUUUACGAGAGGGGACAAGGUCUUCCAUCUGA